rnacentral:misc_RNA from 1 species
GGAAGUAAAAGUCGUAAAAAGGUUUCCGUAGGUGAACCUGCGGAAGGAUCAUUAUCGUACAAAAUGUGAGGGGCAUGCGAGGGCUGUCGCUGACCCAAAAGUCGUGCACGCCCGAGUGUGUCCUCUUGCAUAAUAAUCCAUCUCACCCUUUGUGCAUCACCGCGUGGGCACCCUUCGGGAUCAUCUCGGAGGGGGGCUCGCGUUUUCACACAACCCCCCCUUUUAAAAGUGUAGAAUGACCACAUUUAUGCAAUCAAUACAACUUUCAACAACGGAUCUCUUGGCUCUC